rnacentral:rRNA from 1 species
UACGGAGGGAGCUAGCGUUGCUCGGAAUGACUGGGCGUAAAGGGCGCGUAGGCGGAUGGUACAGUCAGAUGUGAAAUUCCCGGGCUUAACCUGGGGGCUGCAUUUGAUACGUGUUGUCUAGAGUGAGGAAGAGGGUCGUGGAAUUCCCAGUGUAGAGGUGAAAUUCGUAGAUAUUGGGAAGAACACCGGUGGCGAAGGCGGCGAGCUGGUCCAUUACUGACGCUGAGGCGCGACAGCGUGGGGAGCAAACAGG